UUUUGUUAAUUACCCUGUGUCUCUUCGUCUUCAUUAUCCGAGGGAAGAACUGAUCUUCCUUCUCAAUCCCUUUUCCGCAACCCACACCUGCCAUUUCUGAAGCCAUUAUUAAUGAAAUCAUCGAAAAAGCCGACAGUUUGGAAGAUUGCUUCUGAAGAAGUGUUCAGAAACCUCGCUUAUUGCAAAACCGUCAUCGUAAACCAUUCUGACAAAGACGACGGUUUGAAAAGGGUGGGUGGACAGUGCAAAGUAGUAAUCAUUGCAACGACUACUGUCAAGAAUUUGACAGUGCACAAAGUUUAUGUCAGAUAAAGGACAUUGUGGCAUUUUAUCAAUAAAAUCCCUCUACUUGAGAACCUUGUGAUAGAUGGUUGUUCCCGUGAGGUUUUUUGUGGAGAUGGUGUUUCCGGUAAUUAUUUGCAACGCCUUUUUAUUUCUUACAAGAAUCUGGCAAACCUUGUGCUGAAGUUAGAUGAAUGAAUGUGAUAACGUGGAGGAGAUACCGGCACCGAAAUGGCACAAAAAUUGACCAAAUUUUCCAAAAGGGGUCGUGAAAUUUUUUAUAGACCAAAAGGGGUUAAUCGUGCGCCCCUGCACGAUUUACCCUAAUUGAAUUAACGUCCCCGUCUGUUAACUUUUAAAAAAAUAUAUGUAUAAGGUAAAUCGUGUACAUGGACACGAUUUGAUAUAAUUCUUUUUGCAAAUCGUGUUCCUGUACACGAUUUACAAAAUUUAAUUUUAGCAAAUCGUGUACUUGUACACGAUUUCCUUUAUAUAUAUAUAUAUAUAUAUAUAUGCUAUGUUAACUUA